AUUGAACGCUGGCGGCAGGCCUAACACAUGCAAGUCGAGCGGAUGAAGGGAGCUUGCUCCUGGAUUCAGCGGCGGACGGGUGAGUAAUGCCUAGGAAUCUGCCUGGUAGUGGGGGAUAACGUCCGGAAACGGGCGCUAAUACCGCAUACGUCCUGAGGGAGAAAGUGGGGGAUCUUCGGACCUCACGCUAUCAGAUGAGCCUAGGUCGGAUUAGCUAGUUGGUGGGGUAAAGGCCUACCAAGGCGACGAUCCGUAACUGGUCUGAGAGGAUGAUCAGUCACAUGGGCACUGACACACGGCCAAGAGUGCUGGGGGGUGCGGCUGUGGGAAAUCGUGGAGGAUGGGCGGAAGACUGAUGCAGCCGUGCGGCGUGUGGAAAGAAGGUCAGAUUAUUGGAAAGCACGUUGAGUGGGGAAGAAGGGCAGGAAUGUACUACCUUGCUGUUUUGACCUUACCAACAAAAUAACCGCCGGCUAACGCCGUGCCAGCAGCCGGGGUAAUGACGGAAGAGCCCACGUCUACC
rnacentral:rRNA from 1 species